rnacentral:rRNA from 1 species
AGAGUUUGAUCAUGGCUCAGAUUGAACGCUGGCGGCAGGCUUAACACAUGCAAGUCGAGCGGGGAAAGGUAGCUUGCUACCUUACCUAGCGGCGGACGGGUGAGUAAUGCUUAGGAAUCUGCCUAUUAGUGGGGGACAACAUUUCGAAAGGAAUGCUAAUACCGCAUACGCCCUACGGGGGAAAGCAGGGGACCUUCGGGCCUUGCGCUAAUAGAUGAGCCUAAGUCGGAUUAGCUAGUUGGUGGGGUAAAGGCCUACCAAGGCGACGAUCUGUAGCGGGUCUGAGAGGAUGAUCCGCCACACUGGGACUGAGACACGGCCCAGACUCCUACGGGAGGCAGCAGUGGGGAAUAUUGGACAAUGGGGGGAACCCUGAUCCAGCCAUGCCGCGUGUGUGAAGAAGGCCUUUUGGUUGUAAAGCACUUUAAGCGAGGAGGAGGCUACUUAGAUUAAUACUCUAGGAUAGUGGACGUUACUCGCAGAAUAAGCACCGGCUAACUCUGUGCCAGCAGCCGCGGUAAUACAGAGGGUGCAAGCGUUAAUCGGAUUUACUGGGCGUAAAGCGUGCGUAGGUGGCCAAUUAAGUCAAAUGUGAAAUCCCCGAGCUUAACUUGGGAAUUGCAUUCGAUACUGGUUGGCUAGAGUAUGGGAGAGGAUGGUAGAAUUCCAGGUGUAGCGGUGAAAUGCGUAGAGAUCUGGAGGAAUACCGAU